CCCAGUCCGGUGCUGUUUUAUUUGCUCCCUGAAGGCUGCUCCUCCAGAUGGCACCCCACGUUGGCAUGAGGAUUUCAGAUCUGGCUGGAAACUGAUAUAAAAAUCAUCGCUAUCAUCACAACCACUACAAAGAACACAGGGAAGUGAGC